rfam:Populus trichocarpa isolate Nisqually-1 chromosome 10, whole genome shotgun sequence.
AAAAAAGCAGGGUCUUGUUGCCUUUUUGUGAACAAGGCUCUCGUAAACUUCAGGAAAAUUAAUUGCAUUGUUAUUGGGUGAACCUCUGUUGUUAUUGGUGGCUUAAGGUUCAGUAAAUGAUGGCACAUCU